GACAACGCUUGGCGGCGUGCUUACACAUGCAAGUCGACAAGACGAUGGAGCUUGCUUUAUCAAUUUAGUGGGAACGGGUGAGUAACGCGUAAUCACCUGCCCUUCAGAGGGGACACAGUUGAAACGCUGCUAAUCCGCAUCGAUUAACCUCGGCAUCAGGAUGGAUGAAAGUGGCCUCUAUUUAUAAGCUAUCAUGAAGAGGGGAUGCGUCUGAUAGCUAGUUGGAGGGGUACGGCCCACCAAGGCGAUGAUCAGUAGCCGGUCUGAGAGGAUGACGGCCACAUUGGGACUAACCGGCCCAGACUCCUACGGGAGGCAGCAGUGGGGAAUCUUCCGCAAUGCAAAGUCUGACGGAGCAACGCCGCGGAGUGAUGACGGCCUUCGGGUUGUAAAGCUUGUUAAUCGGGAGAAAGGCCUUCUUGCGAAUAGUUAGAAGGAUUGACGGUACCGGAAUAGAAAGCCACGGCG
rnacentral:rRNA from 1 species